rnacentral:rRNA from 1 species
UGCCGGAGGCCAUUGCUAUUGGAGUCCGACUUAGCCAUGCUAGUUGUACGAGUUCAGACUCGUAGCAGAUAGCUCAGUAACACGUGGCCAAACUACCCUCUGGAGCGCGACAACCUCGGGAAACUGAGGCUAAUCGCGCAUACCGCUCUCAGGCUGGAACUGCCGAGAGCGCGAAAUGCCCCGGCGCCCGAGGAUGUGGCUGGCGGGCCGAUUAGGUAGACGGUGGGGUAACGGCCCACCGUGCCAGUAAUCGGUACGGGUUGUGAGAGCAAGAGCCCGGAGACGGUAUCUGAGACAAGAUACCGGGCCCUACGGGGCGCAGCAGGCGCGAAACCUUUACACUGCACGCCAGUGCGAUAAGGGGACUCCAAGGUUGCGAGGGCAUAGAGCCCUCGCUUUUUCUGUACCGUAAGGUGGUACAAGAAUAAGUGCUGGGCAAGACCGGUGCCAGCCGCCGCGGUAAUACCGGCAGCACGAGUGAUGGCCGCUCUUAUUGGGCCUAAAGCGUCCGUAGCUGGCCGCGCAAGUCCAUCGGGAAAUCCGCACGCCUAACGUGCGGGCGUCCGGUGGAAACUGCGUGGCUUGGGACCGGAAGAUCCAGAGGGUACGUCUGGGGUAGGAGUGAAAUCCUGUAAUCCGGACGGGCCCCCCGGGGGGGAAAGCGCUCUGGAAGGACGGAUCCGACGGUGAGGGACGAAAGCUCGGGUCACGAACCGGAUUAGAUACCCGGGUAGUCCGAGCUGUAAACGAUGUCUGCUAGGUGUGCCACAGGCUACGAGCCUGUGGUGUGCCGUAGGGAAGCCGUGAAGCAGACCGCCUGGGAAGUACGUCCGC